UAGGAUGUUGGCUUAGAAGCAGCCAUCAUUUAAAGAGUGCGUAAUAGCUCACUAGUCGAGUGACACUGCGCCGAAAAUGUACCGGGGCUAAACAUAUUACCGAAGCUGUGGAUUGUCCUUUGGACAAUGGUAGGAGAGCGUUCUAAGGGCGUUGAAGCAUGAUCGUAAGGACAUGUGGAGCGCUUAGAAGUGAGAAUGCCGGUGUGAGUAGCGAAAGACGGGUGAGAAUCCCGUCCACCGAUUGACUAAGGUUUCCAGAGGAAGGCUCGUCCGCUCUGGGUUAGUCGGGUCCUAAGCUGAGGCCGACAGGCGUAGGCGAUGGAUAACAGGUUGAUAUUCCUGUACCACCUAUAAUCGUUUUAAUCGAUGGGGGGACGCAGUAGGAUAGGCGAAGCGUGCGAUUGGAUUGCACGUCUAAGCAGUAAGGCUGAGUAUUAGGCAAAUCCGGUACUCGUUAAGGCUGAGCUGUGAUGGGGAGAAGACAUUGAGUCUUCGAGUCGUUGAUUUCACACUGCCGAGAAAAGCCUCUAGAUAGAAAAUAGGUGCCCGUACCGCAAACCGACACAGGUAGUCAAGAUGAGAAUUCUAAGGUGAGCGAGCGAACUCUCGUUAAGGAACUCGGCAAAAUGACCCCGUAACUUCGGGAGAAGGGGUGCUCUUUAGGGUUAACGCCCAGAAGAGCCGCAGUGAAUAGGCCCAAGCGACUGUUUAUCAAAAACACAGGUCUCUGCUAAACCGUAAGGUGAUGUAUAGGGGCUGACGCCUGCCCGGUGCUGGAAGGUUAAGAGGAGUGGUUAGCUUCUGCGAAGCUACGAAUCGAAGCCCCAGUAAACGGCGGCCGUAACUAUAACGGUCCUAAGGUAGCGAAAUUCCUUGUCGGGUAAGUUCCGACCCGCACGAAAGGCGUAACGAUUUGGGCACUGUCUCAACGAGAGACUCGGUGAAAUCAUAGUACCUGUGAAGAUGCAGGUUACCCGCGACAGGACGGAAAGACCCCGUGGAGCUUUACUGUAGCCUGAUAUUGAAAUUCGGCACAGCUUGUACAGGAUAGGUAGGAGCCUUUGAAACGUGAGCGCUAGCUUACGUGGAGGCGCUGGUGGGAUACUACCCUAGCUGUGUUGGCUUUCUAACCCGCACCACUUAUCGUGGUGGGAGACAGUGUCAAGCGGGCAGUUUGACUGGGGCGGUCGCCUCCUAAAAGGUAACGGAGGCGCUCAAAGGUUCCCUCAGAAUGGUUGGAAAUCAUUCAUAGAGUGUAAAGGCAUAAGGGAGCUUGACUGCGAGACCUACAAGUCGAGCAGGGUCGAAAGACGGACUUAGUGAUCCGGUGGUUCCGCAUGGAAGGGCCAUCGCUCAACGGAUAAAAGCUACCCCGGGGAUAACAGGCUUAUCUCCCCCAAGAGUUCACAUCGACGGGGAGGUUUGGCACCUCGAUGUCGGCUCAUCGCAUCCUGGGGCUGUAGUCGGUCCCAAGGGUUGGGCUGUUCGCCCAUUAAAGCGGUACGCGAGCUGGGUUCAGAACGUCGUGAGACAGUUCGGUCCCUAUCCGUCGUGGGCGUAGGAAAUUUGAGAGGAGCUGUCCUUAGUACGAGAGGACCGGGAUGGACAUACCUCUGGUGUACCAGUUGUCGUGCCAACGGCAUAGCUGGGUAGCUAUGUGUGGACGGGAUAAGUGCUGAAAGCAUCUAAGCAUGAAGCCCCCCUCAAGAUGAGAUUUCCCAACUUCGGUUAUAAGAUCCCUCAAAGAUGAUGAGGUUAAUAGGUUCGAGGUGGAAGCAUGGUGACAUGUGGAGCUGACGAAUACUAAUCGAUCGAAGACUUAAUCAA
rnacentral:rRNA from 1 species